rnacentral:lncRNA from 1 species
GUAGAUUUGCACUGUACAUGAGCGGAUAGAUUAUUUGCACUAAUCAGAAGAGGAUUUAAGUUUCAGCUAGUCACUAUGGCAAUCAGGGGGGAAAUGUUUGAGUGAGACAAACAGGAGGAGGACCAGAAAUAGCAGGGAGGUAAUAGGACGCGGGUGGCGCUGUGGUCUAAACCACAGAGCCUAGGGCUUGCUGAUCAGAAGGUCGGUGGUUCGAAUCCCCGCGAUGGGUUAAGCUCCCGUUGCUCAGUCCCCUGAUCCUGCCAACCUAGCAGUUCGAAAGCAUGCAGUACAAGUAGAUACAUAGGUACCGCUCCGGUGAGAAGGUAAACGGCAUUUUUGUGCGCUGCUCUGGUUCACCAGAAGCGGCUUAGUCAUGCUGGCCACAUGACCCGGAUGCUGUACGCCGGCUCCCUCGGCCAGUAAAGCGAGAUGAGCACCACAACCCCAGAGUCAUCUGCGUCUGGACCUAACAGUCAGGGGUCCCUUUACUUUUAAUAGGGCUUCUGAUUGUUGCGUCUUGAGGUGGGAGUGGGAUUGUAUACUUUGUGCUUCAUUAAAAAAAAUCUUUUUGCAUCCCUUAUUUUGUAGUAGAGAUAUGAGCAAUCUGCCAAGCAGUGGUCCCAAUUCUUUGCUUGAAUGAAGUGGUCUACUUCCCAUCUUACUUUAAACCAUGGGUAGGCAAACUAAGGCCCGGGGGCUGGAUCCGGCCCAACUGCCUUCUGGAUCCUGCCCGCGGACGGUUUGGGAAUCGGCGUGGGGAUUCUGAUCGUUCAGGCUGCGCCAUUUCCCCCCCCACACACACCACGGUGGCGCCUCCUCCCUCCCUCCCUCCUUCUGGCUUCUCCCCGCCCAGCCUAGAGGAGGAAGGGGGCUGGGCUUUGUUGAGCUGUGGUUGGCUGAGCGCCAUUUUAAGCAGCCCCUGUCCAGAGCCAGCCCUUUCUUGCCGCUCAUCGUCCCUCUGCUACCACUGCCGCCGCCAACCCCUGCCACUCGCAAGGCACAGGUACGCAGCCACUGGGGCUCGUUCAGUGCUGUGGAGAAGGGAGGGGAGAGUUGGGGGGAUUCCCCCCAAAAAAUACAGUCCGGCCCCCCACAAGGUCUGAGGGACAGUGGACCGGCCCCCUGCGGAAAAAGUUUGCUGACCCCUGCAUUAAACCAUAGCUUAAAACAGGUGAUGGCUUCACGUGAAUGUGCAGCAUACAGUGGUACCUCGGGUUAAGUACUUAAUUCGUUCCAGAGGUCCGUUCUUAACCUGAAACUGUUCUUAACCUGAGACACCACUUUAGCUUAUGGGGCCUCCUGCUGCCGCUGCGCCCACAAUUUCUGUUCUCAUUCUGAAGCAAAGUUCUUAACCCGAGGUAAUAUUUCUGGGUUAGCGGAGUCUGUAACCUGAAGUGUAUGUAACCUGAAGCGUAUGUAACCCGAGGUACUACUGUACUAGUACACACUGCUGAAAAAUUCCCAAUCCACAAUUCUUCCUGCAUUUGCUGCCAGGAACAAGCAAAAGUCUAGCUUGCCUUAAUGUUGGAACCUGGUCUCAUGGUUCUUUUCUAUAUGGAGUUUUGCACUGAUACCUCCUCAUGGCAGGGAUCUGUCCUCCUAUACAGUCGUACCUUGGAUCCUGAACACCUUGCAAGUUUAACGUUUUGGCUCCCAAACACCGCAAACCAGUGAGUGUUCCAGUUUGCAAACGUUCUUUGGAACCCGAACGUCUGAUGGGGCUUCCGUGGCUUCUGUAGCCGUGCCUUGGUUUCUGAACAUUUUGGAAGUCGACUUCCAGAACGGAUUCUGUUCGAUUUCCGAGGUACUUUGGAAACUAUUGUGCGCACAAUGAUAAUACGUUGUUAUAGCAUUCAACCUGAUCAGUCCCCAAUAUGCACCUUUAAUCCAAUCCUGCAACAUUUCGUUUGCUUGUAAGACACUUUGGGUUGCCCUGGGCAAGAAAAAGCAACUAACAGUUUUAAUAAUUUCAAAACAAGAGAUAAUACAUUUUAAUUGUGAAAACCUAAAUAUCCAGUAAGUGCUUGAAUCCCUCUCGAUAUCCUAAAAGACGGAAGACUGGCAAAACUCUAAAACAGGCAUCUAGGUCAAAUGUGAAGCGAUGGAGUGUUUUCUGUAUUGUCUGUGCACGUAUUGUUUUACCCAUUGCUGAUCUAAUCCUUUGUGAACAGGAAGGAAACGUAUUUUACAUUGUUAACAAAGGCCAAGGGGGUCAGCAAGAGACAGAAAAUAAGAUGGCUGUUUCCUCCACACAAGUGAUGCAACUUUGCAAACGUUACUCAUUCAAGCUCUGUCUGCAUGAUAUGUCAGAUGGAGAGAAGGGGGAAGGGGGAGAUGUGUAAAGUGGAGAAUGAUUCAAAGCAAACAAAAAUAGAGGAAAUGAUUCUACAAGAAGCCAAGGGGUUUUUCUGUGUGGGUGUGGGUGGCGGUUAUUUUUUGCUUUUUUGUUUCGAGGUGGGGCAAAUUGUGUAAGGUCACCCUUCCAGCAAGCCAAGGCGGUUUGCAAUCCAAUUAAUGCUAGGCAUGACCUAACUAAAACGAAACAUUUAAAGAGGUCUGCCAAUUUCAAUGGGGCAGACAUACAACCUGGUCCUAUGUAUGCUUACACAGAAGAUGUCCCAUCUUGUUCAAUGGGGGACUCAUUCACAAAUAUAUAUUUUAAAGCAUGACACUUUUCUUUUAAAGGAAUGAAUAAUAGCCGUGGGGACCUGAUCCAGCACCGAUCUCACUCAGGUUUCCCACUGACAAUUCUGGCUGCAAAUGUGCAGGAAUGAACAGCAAUGGGGGGACGGGGAGAUAUUCAACAGGGAACCUAUCCAGAAUGGGGGGCAUGCUGGAUUGGGGCCCCACAGUUACAUUUCCUUGAAAAAAAACAUAGCAGCAUUAAGCACCCCUUUUUAAAAAGCGGGAUUCAUGCAAUGUUUAAUUUGACCUUUAAUGAAAAGCAGAACUUUCCUGUUGAUCUAAAUGGAAUUUAAAAGGGCUUACCUAAAGUCCUCCUCUAAGCAUUUAUAUGUUACGUGCAGAGACAUGUAGCAAAAGCCGAGCGGAGAUGCUUUAGAUGGGAGAAACUUGAGGAAGGGGAAGGGUUAAAGAUCGCUCCAGAUCAGCCUUUCCUGAGGCUGCUUUUGCUUUGGCUGGAAUGUGCCAAAAAUCCUGAUUCAAACCUUCAGUUUUAACCAGGUGAAUAUCGGUCCGUACAUGCAACACCGGCCAGCAUCUAAAGGAAGCGUGAAGCUUCAGGCUUGUUUUCCUCGAUCAACAGCUUGUCAUGCUUUGACAACCUGCUUCUGAACAGAGUAUCACUUUGAGAUACAGCAAGGAUGAGCAUUAACAGUUCAAAGUUGACAAAGUUAAGCAUUCCAAAGAGCCCAAGCUCUUUGCAAGGCGCUACACAGCUUUCGUUUUGCCCUUUGGGUUGUUGUAUCCAUGGUGCCUUAACCUUAGCAGAAAGCAGUUCCCCUCAGCCUCAGGAGAGGGUGAUCUGGAGAGACGAAGUCUGGGGACCUGGUUUCCCCAAUCCUUCUUUCCAACCACUUGCCCUUUGUCCUCUAUCUAGGGAGUUCCCGCAGCCUUUCAGGUGAGCUGAAGGGUCUAUGUGGUUGGAGGAGAAACUGGGUGCGAUAAAGGCAAAGCCACCAUUGGAUAUGACCCAUCAUAGAAUAAUAACAAUAAUUUAUUAUUUAUACCCCACCCAUCUGGCUGGGUUUUCCCAGCCACUCUGGGAGGCUCUCAACUAAUAAUAAUGAUGAUGAUAAUGAUAAUAAUAGGUAAAACAUCAAACAUUAAAAACUUCCCUAAACAGGGCUGCCUUCAGAUGUCUUCUAAAAGUCAGAUAGUUGUUUAUGGCAUUGUAGAGUUGGAAGGGACCCUAAGAGUCAUCUAGUCCAACCCUCUGCAAUGCAGGAAUCUCCGCUAAAGCAUCCAUGACGGAUGGCCACCCAACCUCUGCUUAAAAACCUUCUGAGUGAGACCAUUACACUGUCAAGUAGCUCUUAUGGUCAGAAAGUUCUUGAUGUUUAGUAGGAAUCUCCUUUCUUGCAACUUGAAGCUGUUGGUUCGAGUCCUACCCCCCAGAGCAGGAGAAAACAAGCUCGUUCCCUUUUCCAUGUGACAACCUUGAGAUAUUUGAAGGUAGCUUUCACAUCUCCGCUCAGUCUCCUCUUUUCCAGGCUAAACAUACCCAGCUCCUUCAACCGUUCCUGAUAAGGCUUAGUCUUUUGCUUUCUGCCUUCAGCAACCAUUCCCAUAUAAAUAGUCCAUAGC